AUUUAUCCUGGAAUUCAAUAAAGCUCAAGACUGUUGCCAUACAGUGACGGUUGUUCUGCUUCAGUACCAUCACAGAAAUGUGGCUUUUGUUUUUGAUGAUGGCGGGAAACAGAAUGGAGGCAUCUGCAUACAGCAGAGACGGGGUUUUACUGUGUUAGCCAGGAUGGUCUCGGUCUCCUGACCUCGUGAUCUACCCGCCUCAGCCUCCCAAAGUGUUGGGAUUACAGGCAUGAGCCACCGCGCCCAGCCGUCUUGUCAAAAUACUCUAAGACUUCAUCUGUUUAGAAUCAAAAGUGCGGAAGACCUGGGAAUUAUGUAAUAAGGAUAGCAGAAUAAUCCUCGUCACUGACAGGUGGUGAGCUGUAAAGUGUUCUUUUGUUGCAGUGGCAGAGAUUUCAGCAAUGGAGGGAAAUCCAGUGGCCAAGAUGCUUACCUGUCUCGGUGUCCAGCAUGUGUCCUGGAGGAGUGCCCCUAAAGCACCUUCAGCUGUUUAUUUAAACACUUGACUCCAGGCUCUGAUGCAUUUUAAUUUUUCAACAUUUAAAUUUAGCUGUUUUAAUGAGGUUUUAGUUUUAAUAAGUAACAAAAGAUUUUUUCAGUAUUAAUUAUCAUGAGGUCUUAAACUCUGUAAUCUAUAUAAAACUCAGAGAGAACCUGUCUUGAGUAGUUUAAAUCUCUAAUUAAAUCAGUAUUUCUACCUAGCAACAGAGUAGCAAAAGUAUUAAUUCAGUGGUUCUCAAUAGGGGUAGGGGAGCAGAUUUUGACCGCCAGCCCAGGGCACAUUUGGCAAUGUCAAGAUGUUUUUCGCUGUCAUAACUUACGGAGGGGAUAGGUGCUACUGGCAUCUAGUGGGUAGAGGUCACGGAUGCUGCUGAAUAUCCUGCAGAGCUCAGGACAGCCCCUAUCUCCAUAAAAACUUUUCUGGCCCAGAAUGUCAAUAGUGCAACUGUUGAGAAACCUUCUAUAAAAUGAUUGGUGUGGGUAAGAGAAUAUACUAAAAUGCUAAAAUAGCAGGCUUGAAAUUAUUUGCAUAUCAGGAGAGUGGAGUUUAUAACUGACUGACUAAAAACUCUGGUGUAGGACCUAUCCUCCAGAGGCGAUGCUAAAUCUGCGGAUAGGACACUAAAUCAGCAUCUGUAAAAUUUGAAACAUAUCUCCACGGUGGGGUCAGACCAAAGAAUGGUAAAUGUUGCUUUGAUUUUAAAAAGUUGGAAAUGAUGUUUCUCAGAGGAAAUACUAGGUCUCAGUUGAGCUGUGAGAGGGGGCAGGUUGCUAUGUUUUUUUCUCUACAAUAGUGCACAGUGUCUUUUGAAUGGGAGAAGUUCUGAAUACCCUACUGAAGUAGCCCCUGCUGCAGUGUUCUCUACCAUGACAUGCUCUUUUUGCUUUCCCAGCACUUUUAUUAACUUUUAAUUAAUUUUUAUUGUUCAUGUUGCUAUUGCUAUUAGUCUACUGUCUGUCUCAUUGGACUGUAAGCUCUAUGAGAGUGGCAAAUAUAUAGUAUCACUUAAUAUUGUAUGUCUAGUAGCUACCAGAGUGCCUGCCGUUAUAACGAGCAUGGAUAAAUUUAAUAUUUUUGAAUUAAAUGAAUGAAUUAAACAUGUUUGUAGUGUGACUUCUUAGCAUAAUGCAUCCAUUUUCAACAGCAGAGAAUCUUCUACCAUACAAAGAGAACAUUUCCUCAGAAAGUUCUUACUUUCUCUUUUGUCAUAUUCCUCUUAUUAAGAAAAAUUCAAGAAUUGGCAACUAGGACCCCUUUAUUUGAUCCAUUUCCCUAUUGAUUAUGUGUAAGGACCUUGAAUCAUUGAACAAUCUCUGGAAAAUGUUUCUCUUCCUGAGUUAUUUAAAGAAAAGAGAAUAUGAGUGUCAAUAGUCAUACAGAAGGUACUGUUGCCUGAAUACUAUGCCCCUAAUUUUAAUAGUCAAAAGGCAGCGAAUUUCCUUCCAGGCUUUUACAGAACGGAGUUAAAACUAAGUCUGCAUUUACACGUGGACCAUCAAAAUUUUAACAAUUAGACGCUGGGUAAGUGGCUUAAAACACUUUCAUUGAAAUUUUUGUACCUUUCCCUAAUUAGGCAUUCAAACAAUGGACACAUGUGGAAUCUGCCAGCCCCAAGUUCCCAGCAGCUCUUAGUAAAGGUGAUUGAUGGCUAC
rnacentral:lncRNA from 1 species